GGGGCUGGGGAGGCAGAUACGAAGGCGGGGGUCGCCGGAGCGUGGAUUCCCGGGCGGAUCCAUGGCAUCCGCGGUCCUGGGCAGAAAGGAGACGGGGAGGUGAGGGAGAGAAGAAGGAAGAAAGGAGGGGCUGUGCUGCGACCUAGGCAGGAGCUCACGGGAGUCGGGCGGAAGCGGGAGAUGGAGGGAUCCGGCGUGGCGGCGCGAAGUCCUUGCAGGUGGAGGCGGUCCUCCAUGGCUGGCAGGAAGAUCUCCAAGGCCAUGGCGGGUGCUGAGAAAUGUAGGAGAGGUUCCCUCCGUGGGGAUGGGGGAAGAUUGUCUACAGCAAGAGCAGACAAUGGAGGUGGAAGUAUGGAGAAGGAUGGGACGAUGUGCUUGCACUACUGCGACGGAGGGAAGGCGAAUUGAGUGAUACCAAAAGGAUUGUACAGUCAGACUGGAUGACAUUACGACUGAAUUACCUUGCAUCAGGUAAUCUUGUGUUAUAUUGGCAUCAGGUAAUCUUCUGGCAUUACGACUGAAUUACAUUUGGUACUGGUUUUAUCUGCUGCUCAUAUUGUGCAGCUUAUCUUGUUCUUCUAUACACAGUUCAGAUUGAUGUUCUGAAGAUUGAAAUGUGUGUGCAGUGUCUUGGGCAUCCGAGCUCUUCCUAGGAGUAGUCACUUCAUGUGCAUCUAGGGCAUCCAAUCAUCCAUCUUGCUGGUCCAGAAUUUGUGUAAGACUGAACUAUGUAAGGUUCCAUUGUCUUGCAAUGGAGCCGAGGAGCCUCCCUUGUUUUCUAUAAGAAAAAGAAUUAAGUAUCCUUUCCUCAUCUCACAUAAGCAAGAGAAUACCGGCACACAUAUUCUAAGACUAUCUCCAAUAUUGUUUGAUUUGGAGCUCUUAUGUGCAAAAUUCACCAAAAUGAAUCACAAUGCAAAUGGUCCAGUCCCUUUUUAUUUUCAUGGAUCCGUUGUAUAUUGAUUUUUGCCUCAAAUGCUCUAUAACAAUCGUAUCGCUUGCUGGUGUAGCCAUCUAUCUCAGAGCAGCAGUUGGCAAACCAAAUCCAAGGUGCAAUCUUUUUCCGGUAACUAAUAUAGUGGCAUAUAGUAUUGUCUUAAAAACAUGCAUAAUUGGUCAUACCUAUCAUACCAAUCUUAGAACAUGUUUUGAAUUCAGGUAAACUUAGGAACAUGUAUCUUGGUAGUUUGAACUUGAACUCUAUUUGGUCCUAAUAAGGCGAUAUGGUUACAUAGCUGAUUGACAUAUGCACAAUCAUUUUUUAAAGAAACAGAAAUAAAUAAAUUCAACAUUGAAUUAGUAGAACAUGAUGGUGUGUCCUGUUCCAUCCGUCCCUGGCUCGUUAACAUUGAAGGUGCCGUCUGCUGUGGUCAUCAGAGGCAUAGCUGCCCGUACUCAUCACAAGUUGUUGGCACUGGAUUUAUUAUGUAAACUCAAUGAUUUUGCUUGCUAGAUUUCCUUCAAUUUUUGACCCACAACGAGGAGUAUUACGAGGGCCUGGACAAACUUGAUUAAAUUAGUUUCUAUUUUGGUAUAGGUGGGACCAUCACUUUGGGAUGUUUUUCCAAUCUGCAUGUGCAAUUGUGCAUGACGAUCCUAAUUGUAUAUGUUGGACAUAUUCAUGUUGAGUAUAUGUUGAACGCAUGAUUGUUAAACCACUAUAGUAUGUAUACCCCGUUGCAACGCAUGAGCUCGAGGAGAAGAGGUAGGGAGAAGAAGGAAGGGUGCCGCAGGGGCGUAGCGGUGCAAGGGCGCUGGUCUUGUGCGCGUGGAGCAUCUCUCCUUGGGCGGUUGCGCUGGUUGGUUCGGCACGCAAAUGCCCACCUUGCCCACGUUCGACAACUCAUCGCCGGCGCGGAAGACAUGGACUCCUACCACAGAGAGCUCGCAUGCCCUGCAGCGGCUGGAACUGGCUGAAGGUCAUCCCGCAUCCUCGACUUCAUCCUUUCCUGCGCCCUCCUCCAUCCACGACCUCUGUCUUAUAUUUAGAAACGAAGGGAGUACCAACUAGGACUUAUGCUACUCCCAGCUCGAGCUCCACAAGCACGUUACUCCAGGUCUACGUCCUCAAGGUAUGGAACUUACACUACCUCUCUGCACCAGUCGAUGGCCCUGGACUAGCUGUCCCAAUGGCCUUGUCGCCUCCCUCGAUCCCUCAUGUUUCCUUCCACGAUGUAAUAGAUAUAGCAAUUUUUUUAUUUGUUGAGAGAUAAAUGUGCCGCAAUGUAAAUAGGCUAUGCUAGGAGUUCAGUUGCCCAGGGAACGAGAAUUUGUCCAUGAUACUCUGACUGAACCUAUUUUCAGGAUCAGAACUAAUGUUUUCAGAUGUCACCUUAUGAAGUUGCUUCAUUGUUGACGAGUUAAUGUCUUAUGCAACCCUGCCAUCUACAAUUUGCCAGUCAGAAGGUGACCUGAAGCUUAAAAUAGAGAAAAUGACCAUGAGCUCUGUCAAGUAAGAUAUUUUCUAUAUCGAGAUGCCUUAGGCUCAUAGUCCCCUUUCUGUUCUCUACGUCCUUGCUCAUUGGUUAAUUCGGGACAACAGUUUGUCCGAUCAAUCUAUGUUACUUUUCUGAGUUUAGAUUGUUGCCCCUUAGAAAUUUUUGAAUCAAUGCAUCAGAAUGGUUUCUUUGUUGUUUUAUGUGGAUAUGGAUUCUGGUCAUAUUUUUACACAUUAAGGAUUUUGAGUGCGAUCUAUGUAGUCACUGAAACCUAAUGUGCACAGUGUGUACAUGUAGCUAAUGUAUUUGAUUCUGAAAUAAAACAUAUUUUUUCUUUAGAUUGUGUUCUUUAGAUUGCAUGCAUGCAUACACCAUGUUUCUGUUUUGGUACCAGUAAAAAAUGUUUAUUUGGAGAACGAUCGAGCAGUAAUUCCCAUUUGGAGGCAAAGAGCAUCCUCCUUGCACCAGUGCGCUGGAUGACUACAUCAUACCACUUCUCUUAACCUGCGACUGGCUCUCUGCUAUGGGCAUAAGGGUCUGAUUACAUAACAUCAAGGUUUGACCAAUGUACCCAUUUGUUCUGAAAUUAGAUUAUAUAAGGGUUAUCAAAUUGUCAGAGAUUCGAGCCCAACGAUAAGAAGCAUUUGGAGCUGCAAAUGUGACAUUUAUUUCUUGAAAUACCUACAUCUUAUAUUAUGACUGGUUGUUCUUUUUGCAGGGCUUAGGACUAAUUCUAAUGAUGUUAAGCUUGAUAUAUAGGUAUGGCAACAGAGGUUGCUGGAUGUUAACUGUUAAUCACAAUGUAUCAGUAUUAAUUAUAUGCUAUUGUUUUUCUAGAUUCAAAGUAGUACAUUUUUGGGUAGAAAGACAAUACGAACUUUGUCUCUGAUGUAAUCAUUUUGCACUCAGUACGGUUGUGUUCCAUCUGGCAGGCUGCCUGCACAUGCAAUAAUUUGAUUAAGGAUGACACGAA